rnacentral:misc_RNA from 1 species
GAAAUGCGAUAAGUAGUGUGAAUUGCAGAAUUCAGUGAAUCAUCGAAUCUUUGAACGCACAUUGCGCCCCUUGGUAUUCCAUGGGGCAUGCCUGUUCGAGCGUCAUUUGUACCCUCAAGCUCUGCUUGGUGUUGGGUGUUUGUCCUUUCCAUUGCGUUGGGACUCGCCUUAAAGUCAUUGGCAGCCGGUGUAUUGGUCUUGAAGCGCAGCACAAUUUGCGGUUCCAGCCAAAAACGCCAGCCUCCAUUAAGUACAUUUAACACUUUUGACCUCGGAUCAGGUAGGGAUACCCGCUGAACUUAA